GGAGUUAGCCGGUGCUUCUUCUGUGAGUGAUGUCCUUCCUGCCGGCUAUUAACCCGCAGGCCUUCUUCCUCACUGAAAGUGCUUUACAACCCGAAGGCCUUCUUCACACACGCGGCAUGGCUGGAUCAGGGUUGCCCCCAUUGUCCAAUAUUCCCCACUGCUGCCUCCCGUAGGAGUCUGGGCCGUGUCUCAGUCCCAGUGUGGCUGAUCAUCCUCUCAGACCAGCUACGGAUCGUCGCCUUGGUGAGCCGUUACCUCACCAACCAGCUAAUCCGACAUAGGCUCAUCCGAUAGCGCGAGGCCCGAAGGUCCCCCGCUUUCCCCCGUAGGGCGUAUGCGGUAUUAGCCUGGGUUUCCCCCAGGUUAUCCCCCACUACCGGGCAGAUUCCUAUGCAUUACUCACCCGUCCGCCGCUCGCCACCAGGGAGCAAGCUCCCCGUGCUUCCGCUCGACUUGCAUGUGUUAGGCCUGCCGCCAGCGUUCAAUCUGAGCCAUGAUCAAAUUCUGA
rnacentral:rRNA from 1 species